rnacentral:rRNA from 1 species
GAUGAACGCUAGCGGGAGGCUAACACAUGCAAGCCGAGCGGUAUGCAUUUUAGCUUGCUAAGAAUGCAGAGAGCGGCGCACGGGUGCGUAACAUGUUUGCAACUUGCCUUUAUCAGGGGGAUAGCCUUUAGAAAUGAAGAUUAAUACCCCAUAAUACAUUGAUUGGCAUCAAUAAUAUUGAAAACAUUUGUGGAUAAAGAUAGGCACGCACAAGAUUAGCUAGUUGGUACGGUAACGGCGUACCAAGGCGACGAUCUUUAGGGGGCCUGAGAGGGUGAUCCCCCACACUGGUACUGAGACACGGACCAGACUCCUACGGGAGGCAGCAGUGAGGAAUAUUGGACAAUGGGUGAGAGCCUGAUCCAGCCAUCCCGCGUGAAGGACGACGGACCUAUGGUUUGUAAACUUCUUUUAUAUAGGAAUAAACCUACCCUCGUGAGGGUAGCUGAAUGUACUAUAUGAAUAAGCACCGGCUAACUCCGUGCCAGCAGCCGCGGUAAUACGGAGGGUGCAAGCGUUAUCCGGAUUUAUUGGGUUUAAAGGGUCCGUAGGCGGGCUAAUAAGUCAGUAGAGAAAUCUUGUCGCUUAACGAUAAAACUGCUAUUGAUACUGUUAGUCUUGAGUGUAUUUGAAGUAGCUGGAAUGAGUAGUGUAGCGGUGAAAUGCAUAGAUAUUACUCAGAACACCAAUUGCGAAGGCAGGUUACUAAGAUACAACUGACGCUGAUGGACGAAAGCGUGGGGAGCGAACAGG